rnacentral:misc_RNA from 1 species
AAAGUCGUAACAAGGUUUCCGUAGGUGAACCUGCGGAAGGAUCAUUAAAGUUAUAGUCCCCCGGCCCUCUGGGCUGGGGUCUUCUAUACCACCCUUUGUUUAUUACACCUUUGUUGCUUUGGCAGGCCUGCCCUCGGGCUGCUGGCUCCGGCCGGCUCGCGUCUGCCAGAGGACCUAAACUCUGUUUGUAUAUGAAGUCUGAGUACUAUAUAAUAGUUAAAACUUUCAACAACGGAUCUCUUGGUUCUG